rnacentral:precursor_RNA from 1 species
CAGGGACAGGCCGCUGCACCUCUUGCUCAGUUCAGGGAAGGAGUUACAGCCGCCUGUCUCUGGU